CCCGGGCCGCAACUGCAGGAAUCGACGCUAGGACAAUCUAUGCAGGAAGAAUGAAUGGGUGAUGCUGGCAUCUUGAAAAGUUGAAGCUGAUAGACUGAAGAAUGCGGAUUACAUACCCUGAGGCUGCAGAGGAGCAGCCAAGAAGAUGGUGGAUUGAGACUGAGCAUGCCUACCACAAGCAGCUGACCAUCAUUCAAAGCAAGAAGAGGGUACUGCUAAAGGAAACUGGCAAGAAGCAGCUCCUAUGGUACUUACAAGAACAUCGGUCUAGGCUUCAAGAGGUCCAAAGAGACUAUUGAGGGCACCUACAUUGACAAGGAAUGCCUGUUCACUGGUAACGUCUCCAUCUGAGGGCAGAUCCUGUAUGGCAUGGUGACCAAGAUGGAGAUGCAGAGGACCACUGUCAUCCAGAGAAACUAUCUCCACUACAUCCGCAAGUACAAUUGCUUCGAGAAGUACCACAAGAACUUGUCCAUGCACCUGUUCCUCUGCUUCAGGAUGUCCAGAUCAGCGACAUUGUCACGUUGGAUAAGUGCCAGUCCCUGAACAAGACGGUGUACUUCAAUGUGCUCAAGGUCACCAAGGUCGCAGACAUCAAGAAGCAAUUCCAGAAGUUCUGAGGCUGAAUGUCUGCCUGCUCCCCAAAAUGAAAUAAAGUUAUUUUCUCAUUCAUAC
rnacentral:lncRNA from 1 species